UUCUCGUAUGAUAUAUGAAGUCCUUGUUCUCGAAGGUAGGAUGAUGUCAAAGUAGCUGACUUUUGAAGCCGCGCGCGAAGCUGCAGUCGCGUCACAGCCGACGUCCAAAUGCAAAUGUCGUCGGCAUAGAUGGAGAGCCUAACAAUGCCUGGCAGGAUGUCGGUGAGUCCAAUGAGUGUUAGACUGAAGAGCGUUGGGCUGAGUACUCCGCCCUGAGGCACCCCACGGUUACUGUAAUGCUGGGAGGUCGGGCCAUCCUCGUCAUAUCCAUUGAACUGGAGGACCAUAUAUUCAUCUCUACUGAACAUCAUGUUGGCACCCGCUUUAUAUAACGCAUAAAGGCAGCUGCAAGGACCCAAUUAUAUCAAAGAGCCAGCCCAGCGUGACUUCAUGUAGUGCAGAGGAGCGCACGCCAAAGAAUCAAAAUACUUUGCCAUGCAAUUUGGACAAGACAACUAGAAUAACCUCUGCGACUACAGAUUACAUCCCAUUCGCCAAGCAUGAGCGCAGGAGCUGCUUAUGAAGGAAAUAAAUAUUUCCCACAUGCGCCCAUCCAAACAAUCACCAUGUGUGGAGAGCCAGCACAAGGCGUGAUGAAUGGUAACCACGGAAAAUGUGCGGUCGUACAAGCAGGGGCGGAAUUUGGCAACUUCCCAAACUAACGCCUGGCACUCCCAUUCGAUGAAAACAACAAUUCUUCUGGAGAAAUUAAUAUUACACAUAUAUGCUUACAAUGGAUGAACUGUGCCGAGAUUUCUCCUGCUAAGGGACGAACAAGGUACGAAGCCUUUCCAGGAAACCUAAAGCAAAAAUGAAUGAAUGAAUAAAAGUGCAAAACCAGGGUA